rnacentral:rRNA from 1 species
GAACAAGCUACACAGAGUACGAGGUGGAUGCCUGGGCGCUGAAGGCCGAAGAAGGACGCGGAGACCGGCGAAACGUGUCAGGGGAGCUGCAUACAAGCGAUGAGCCUGGCGUAUCCGAAUGGGGCAACCCAUCCAGAGUGAUGUCUGGAUACCCCUCACUGAACACAUAGGUGAGGUGGAGGGCAGUGGGCGAACUGAAACAUCUCAGUAGCCCGACGAGAAGAAAUCAACCGAGAUUCCCGUAGUAGUGGCGAGCGAACCGGGAGGAGCCCAAACCAGCCGUUCUUCGGAACGACUGGGGUUGUAGGACCAGCACAAAGCCAAUUCUAGCUACUCGAAGACGUUGGAAAGCGUCACCACAGCGGGUGAGAGUCCCGUAGAGGACGGCAGGAAGCGGUGGGCUGGCAUCCUGAGUACCACGAGACAC